GACGAAGGAUGCAAGCGUUAUCCGGAUUCAUUGGGUUUAAAGGGAGCGUAGGUGGCCUUAUAAGUCAGUGGUGAAAUCUUUGGGCUUAACCCAGAAAUUGCCAUUGAUACUGUAGGGCUUGAGUAUAGUUGCCGUUGGCGGAAUAUGACAUGUAGUGGUGAAAUACAUAGAGAUGUCAUAGAACACCGAUUGCGAAGGCAGCUGACGAAACUAUAACUGACACUGAGGCUCGAAAGUGUGGGGAUCAAACAGG
rnacentral:rRNA from 1 species